CCUACGGGCGGCAGCAGUGGGGAAUAUUGCGCAAUGGGCGAAAGCCUGACGCAGCGACGCCGCGUGAGGGAUGAAGGUCUUCGGAUCGUAAACCUCUGUCAGCAGGGAAGAACGGUCACUGUGCUAAUCAGCAGUGAAUUGACGGUAACUGCAAAGGAAGCACCGGCUAACUCAGUGCCAGCAGCCGCGGUAAUACGGAGGGUGCGAGCGUUAAUCGGAAUUACUGGGCGUAAAGCGCUCGUAGGCGGUAUGGCAAGGCAAGGGGGAAAUCCCCGCGCGCAACGUGGGAACUGCCUUUGAAACUGGCAAACUGGAGUGUGUGAGAGGAUAGUGGAAUUCCAGGUGUAGGGGUGAAAUCCGUAGAUAUCUGGAGGAACAUCAGUGGCGAAGGCGACUAUCUGGCACAUAACUGACGCUGAGGAGCGAAGGCGUGGGUAGCAAACAGGAUUAGAUACCCCAGUAGUC
rnacentral:rRNA from 1 species